rnacentral:rRNA from 1 species
UACGUAGGGUGCGAGCGUUAAUCGGAAUUACUGGGCGUAAAGCGUGCGCAGGCGGUUUUUUAAGACAGGCGUGAAAUCCCCGGGCUUAACCUGGGAACUGCGCUUGUGACUGGAAGGCUGGAGUAUGGCAGAGGGGGGUGGAAUUCCACGUGUAGCAGUGAAAUGCGUAGAGAUGUGGAGGAACACCGAUGGCGAAGGCAGCCCCCUGGGCCGAUACUGACGCUCAUGCACGAAAGCGUGGGGAGCAAACAGG